rnacentral:rRNA from 1 species
AGCGAACGUUAGCGGCGCGCUUGACACAUGCAAGUCGAACGAGAAAGGGACUUCGGUCCCCGGUAAAGUGGCGCACGGGUGCGUAACACGUAGGCAAUCUUCCCUCAGGAGGGGGAUAACUACCCGAAAGGGUAGCUAAUACCGCGUAAGACCACGGGCUCCACGGAGCUUGCGGUCAAAGGAGGCCUCUUCAUGAAAGCUUCCACCAGAGGAUGAGCCAGCGGCCCAUCAGCUAGUUGGCAGGGUAACGGCCUACCAAGGCGAAGACGGGUAGCCGGUCUGAGAGGAUGAUCGGCCACACUGGCACUGAAACACGGGCCAGACUCCUACGGGAGGCAGCAGUGGGGAAUCUUGGACAAUGGGCGAAAGCCUGAUCCAGCGACGCCGCGUGGGUGAUGAAGGCCUUCGGGUUGUAAAGCCCUGUUGAAGGGAAAGAAAACGUUGGGCGCGAAUAGCUCCCGACCUUGACGGUACCCUUCCAGAAAGCACCGGCUAACUCUGUGCCAGCAGCCGCGGUAAGAC